rnacentral:tRNA from 1 species
CCAAACUCUAAUAGUUUAUAAAAACAUUGGUCUUGU